rnacentral:rRNA from 2 species
GGGUUGUGAGGUUAAGCGACUAAGCGUACACGGUGGAUGCCCUGGCAGUCAGAGGCGAUGAAGGACGUGCUAAUCUGCGAUAAGCGUCGGUAAGGUGAUAUGAACCGUUAUAACCGGCGAUUUCCGAAUGGGGAAACCCAGUGUGAUUCGUCACACUAUCAUUAACUGAAUCCAUAGGUUAAUGAGGCGAACCGGGGGAACUGAAACAUCUAAGUACCCCGAGGAAAAGAAAUCAACCGAGAUUCCCCCAGUAGCGGCGAGCGAACGGGGAGCAGCCCAGAGCCUGAAUCAGUGUGUGUGUUAGUGGAAGCGUCUGGAAAGGCGCGCGAUACAGGGUGACAGCCCCGUACACAAAAAUGCACAUGCUGUGAGCUCGAUGAGUAGGGCGGGACACGUGGUAUCCUGUCUGAAUAUGGGGGGACCAUCCUCCAAGGCUAAAUACUCCUGACUGACCGAUAGUGAACCAGUACCGUGAGGGAAAGGCGAAAAGAACCCCGGCGAGGGGAGUGAAAAAGAACCUGAAACCGUGUACGUACAAGCAGUGGGAGCACGCUUCGGCGUGUGACUGCGUACCUUUUGUAUAAUGGGUCAGCGACUUAUAUUCUGUAGCAAGGUUAACCGAAUAGGGGAGCCGAAGGGAAACCGAGUCUUAACUGGGCGUUAAGUUGCAGGGUAUAGACCCGAAACCCGGUGAUCUAGCCAUGGGCAGGUUGAAGGUUGGGUAACACUAACUGGAGGACCGAACCGACUAAUGUUGAAAAAUUAGCGGAUGACUUGUGGCUGGGGGUGAAAGGCCAAUCAAACCGGGAGAUAGCUGGUUCUCCCCGAAAGCUAUUUAGGUAGCGCCUCGUGAAUUCAUCUCCGGGGGUAGAGCACUGUUUCGGCAAGGGGGUCAUCCCGACUUACCAACCCGAUGCAAACUGCGAAUACCGGAGAAUGUUAUCACGGGAGACACACGGCGGGUGCUAACGUCCGUCGUGAAGAGGGAAACAACCCAGACCGCCAGCUAAGGUCCCAAAGUCAUGGUUAAGUGGGAAACGAUGUGGGAAGGCCCAGACAGCCAGGAUGUUGGCUUAGAAGCAGCCAUCAUUUAAAGAAAGCGUAAUAGCUCACUGGUCGAGUCGGCCUGCGCGGAAGAUGUAACGGGGCUAAACCAUGCACCGAAGCUGCGGCAGCGACGCUUAUGCGUUGUUGGGUAGGGGAGCGUUCUGUAAGCCUGUGAAGGUGUGCUGUGAGGCAUGCUGGAGGUAUCAGAAGUGCGAAUGCUGACAUAAGUAACGAUAAAGCGGGUGAAAAGCCCGCUCGCCGGAAGACCAAGGGUUCCUGUCCAACGUUAAUCGGGGCAGGGUGAGUCGACCCCUAAGGCGAGGCCGAAAGGCGUAGUCGAUGGGAAACAGGUUAAUAUUCCUGUACUUGGUGUUACUGCGAAGGGGGGACGGAGAAGGCUAUGUUGGCCGGGCGACGGUUGUCCCGGUUUAAGCGUGUAGGCUGGUUUUCCAGGCAAAUCCGGAAAAUCAAGGCUGAGGCGUGAUGACGAGGCACUACGGUGCUGAAGCAACAAAUGCCCUGCUUCCAGGAAAAGCCUCUAAGCAUCAGGUAACAUCAAAUCGUACCCCAAACCGACACAGGUGGUCAGGUAGAGAAUACCAAGGCGCUUGAGAGAACUCGGGUGAAGGAACUAGGCAAAAUGGUGCCGUAACUUCGGGAGAAGGCACGCUGAUAUGUAGGUGAAGCGACUUGCUCGUGGAGCUGAAAUCAGUCGAAGAUACCAGCUGGCUGCAACUGUUUAUUAAAAACACAGCACUGUGCAAACACGAAAGUGGACGUAUACGGUGUGACGCCUGCCCGGUGCCGGAAGGUUAAUUGAUGGGGUUAGCGCAAGCGAAGCUCUUGAUCGAAGCCCCGGUAAACGGCGGCCGUAACUAUAACGGUCCUAAGGUAGCGAAAUUCCUUGUCGGGUAAGUUCCGACCUGCACGAAUGGCGUAAUGAUGGCCAGGCUGUCUCCACCCGAGACUCAGUGAAAUUGAACUCGCUGUGAAGAUGCAGUGUACCCGCGGCAAGACGGAAAGACCCCGUGAACCUUUACUAUAGCUUGACACUGAACAUUGAGCCUUGAUGUGUAGGAUAGGUGGGAGGCUUUGAAGUGUGGACGCCAGUCUGCAUGGAGCCGACCUUGAAAUACCACCCUUUAAUGUUUGAUGUUCUAACGUUGACCCGUAAUCCGGGUUGCGGACAGUGUCUGGUGGGUAGUUUGACUGGGGCGGUCUCCUCCUAAAGAGUAACGGAGGAGCACGAAGGUUGGCUAAUCCUGGUCGGACAUCAGGAGGUUAGUGCAAUGGCAUAAGCCAGCUUGACUGCGAGCGUGACGGCGCGAGCAGGUGCGAAAGCAGGUCAUAGUGAUCCGGUGGUUCUGAAUGGAAGGGCCAUCGCUCAACGGAUAAAAGGUACUCCGGGGAUAACAGGCUGAUACCGCCCAAGAGUUCAUAUCGACGGCGGUGUUUGGCACCUCGAUGUCGGCUCAUCACAUCCUGGGGCUGAAGUAGGUCCCAAGGGUAUGGCUGUUCGCCAUUUAAAGUGGUACGCGAGCUGGGUUUAGAACGUCGUGAGACAGUUCGGUCCCUAUCUGCCGUGGGCGCUGGAGAACUGAGGGGGGCUGCUCCUAGUACGAGAGGACCGGAGUGGACGCAUCACUGGUGUUCGGGUUGUCAUGCCAAUGGCACUGCCCGGUAGCUAAAUGCGGAAGAGAUAAGUGCUGAAAGCAUCUAAGCACGAAACUUGCCCCGAGAUGAGUUCUCCCUGACUCCUUGAGAGUCCUGAAGGAACGUUGAAGACGACGACGUUGAUAGGCCGGGUGUGUAAGCGCAGCGAUGCGUUGAGCUAACCGGUACUAAUGAACCGUGAGGCUUAACCUUACAACGCCGAAG